AGAGAGAGACAUGCGCGCAUAUCAAUAAGCGGAGGAAAAGAAACUAACAAGGAUUCCCCUAGUAACGGCGAGUGAAGCGGGAAGAGCUCAAAUUUGAAAUCUUAAAGGGUUUCCCUUUACGAAUUGUAGUUUAAAGAAGUGUUUUCUGUUGAGGUUUUGGUAAAAGUUCUUUGGAAUAGGACAUCAUAGAGGGUGAGAAUCCCGUAUUUGACCUUUACUUUCAACUUUGUGAUACACUUUCAAAGAGUCGGAUUGUUUGGGAAUGCAGUCCAAAAUGGGUGGUAAAUUUCAUCUGAAGCUAAAUAUUGGCGAGAGACCGAUAGCGAACAAGUACCGUGAGGGAAAGAUGAAAAGAACUUUGAAAAGAGAGUUAAACAGUACGUGAAAUUGUCAAAAGGGAAGCGUUUGACACCAGUGUUGUUUUUCUGAAAAUCAAUUAAAGAACUGUUUAUGCUAAGUUGUUUAGACUUUAUCAGCUAACUGUUUAGUUUUGAGCUUUUCUUUAAUGCACUUUUCAGUUAACAAGUCAACAUCAAUUUCUUUUGCUGUAAAAAAGCUUGAGGAAGGUGGCUUGAGAUUCGUCUUAAGUGUUUAUAGCCUCUUGCCUAUGCAGUCGGAGAGAUUGAGGUCUGCAGCGUAGAUCCUUCGGGGCUAAAUGCAUUUGUGCUAAGUUAUAGCAUUUUAUAGACAACUUGUUGACUAUGAUUUGUCUUGUAGCUUACUCGCUUAUGUUAUUUUACCUACGCUUAGGAUGUUGAGCGCAUGUCUCUCUC
rnacentral:rRNA from 1 species